AGUUGAACGCGUAGGGUACAGAGGUAAGAUGUUCUAUCUUUCAGACCUUUUAUUUCACGUAAUUGAAUGUGGCUGAAUAGCAGCCCCGUAGAGUUUGACCUCUUCGGGGCGUUUUUUU
rnacentral:other from 1 species